rnacentral:misc_RNA from 1 species
CGAAAUGCGAUAAGUAAUGUGAAUUGCAGAAUUCAGUGAAUCAUCGAAUCUUUGAACGCACCUUGCGCUCCUUGGUAUUCCUUGGAGCAUGCCUGUUUGAGUAUCAUGAAAUCUUCAAAGUAAAUCUUUUGUUAACUCAAUUGGUUUCUACUUUGGUAUUGGAGGUCUUUGCAGCUUCACACCUGCUCCUCUUCGUUCAUUAGCUGGAUCUCAGUGUUAUGCUUGGUUCCACUCGGCGUGAUAAGUUAUCUAUCGCUGAGGACACUGUAAAAGGUGGCCAAGGUAAAUGCAGAUGAACCGCUUCUAAUAGUCCAUUGACUUGGACAAUACUUUUAUGAUCUGAUCUCAAAUCAGGUAGAACUACCCGCUGAACUUAAGC